CCCCAGUAACGGCGAGUGAACGGCAGCAGCUCAAAUUUGAAAUCCGGCCGCCCCGCGGCCCGAGUUGUAAUUUGCAGAGGACGCUUUGGGCGAGGUGCCUUCCGAGUUCCCUGGAACGGGACGCCGCAGAGGGUGAGAGCCCCGUACGGUCGGCGUCCGAGCCCGUGUAAAGCUCCUUCGACGAGUCGAGUAGUUUGGGAAUGCUGCUCCAAAUGGGAGGUAAACCCCUUCUAAAGCUAAAUACCGGCCAGAGACCGAUAGCGCACAAGUAGAGUGAUCGAAAGAUGAAAAGCACUUUGAAAAGAGAGUUAAAAAGCACGUGAAAUUGUUGAAAGGGAAGCGCUUGUGGCCAGACUUGCGCCCGGCAGCUCAGCCGUCCUUCUGGGCGGUGCACUCUGCCGGGCACGGGCCAGCAUCGGUUCCCGGUCGGGGAGAAAGGCGGCGGGAACGUGGCUCCUCGGAGUGUUAUAGCCCGCCGCCAUGCCCUUCCGGGGACCGAGGUUCGCGCACCCGCAAGGAUGCUGGCGUAAUGGCCACCAGCGACCCGUCUUGAAACACGGACCAAGGAGUCGUCCUAGUAUGCGAGUGUUCGGGUGCCAAACCCCUACGCGCAAUGAAAGUGAACGAGGUGAGAGCUUCGCGCAUCAUCGACCGAUCUGAUGUUCUCGGAUGGAUUUGAGUACGACAUACUGGGCCGGACCGAAAGAAAGUGAACUUUGCUUGUAUAGGUAAAGCCAGAGGAAACUCUGGUGGAAGGCUCCACGGUUCUGACUGCAAUCAAUCUCAAUAUAACAUGGGGGCGAAAAAUUAAUCGAACCUUUAAUA
rnacentral:rRNA from 1 species